rnacentral:rRNA from 1 species
AUGCAUAUUCGGCCGACUUCCUCUCGGGUCCUUUCGGCCUUCUCUGAUGCAGAUUGGGCUGGUAGCUCAGAUGACAGGCGAUCCACUGGGGGUUAUGCAGUAUUCUUUGGCUCUAAUUUGAUCGCCUGGAGUGCUCGGAAACAGGCUACUGUGUCACGUAGCAGUACUAAAGCUGAGUACAAGGCUGUGGCUAAUGCUACUGCAGAGAUUAUUUGGGUGCAGUCUUUGCUUCAGGAGUUGGGUUUGUCUCAACCACAGCCUCCUAUUCUUUGGUGUGAUAACAUCGGUGCUACAUACCUUUCUGCAAAUCCAGUAUUUCAUGCCCGAACGAAACACAUUGAAGUUGACUAUCACUUUGUACGGGAACGUGUAUCACAGAAGCAACUUCAGAUCAAGUUUAUCUCGUCUAAGGAUCAACUUGCAGAUAUCUUCACUAAGCCUUUACCACUGCCACAGUUUGAGGCUUGUAGGCGCAAUCUUACCCUUCUCAGUUCUUUAGAAAGUGGCUAA